rnacentral:tRNA from 1 species
GGGCCGCUAGCUCAGUCGGUUAGAGCGUCGCUCUGAUAAAGCGGAGGUCCCUGGUUCGAUUCCAGGGCGGCCCACCA